GGACGGGUGAGUAACACGUAGGUAACCAACCCUAAAGCGGGGGACAACCCAGGGAAACUUGGGCUAAUACCGCAUAAGACCACGACCUGGAAGGGAUGUGGUAAAAGGAGCAAUCCACUUUAGGAUGGGCCUGCGGCCUAUCAGGUAGUUGGCGGGGUAAAGGCCCACCAAGCCUAAGACGGGUAGCCGGACUGAGAGGUUGAACGGCCACACUGGAACUGAGACACGGUCCAGACUCCUACGGGAGGCAGCAGUGGGGAAUUUUGCGCAAUGGGGGAAACCCUGACGCAGCGACGCCGCGUGGAGGAUGAAGGUUUUCGGAUUGUAAACUCCUUUUGCAGGGGAAGAUAAUGACGGUACCCUGCGAAUAAGCCACGGCUAACUCUGUGCCAGCAGCCGCGGUAAGACAGAGGUGGCAAGCGUUGUUCGGAAUUACUGGGCUUAAAGGGCGCGUAGGUGUCCCGGCAAGUCAGAUGUGGAAUCUUUUCGC
rnacentral:rRNA from 1 species